rnacentral:rRNA from 1 species
AGCGGCGAGUGAGCGGCAAAAGCUCAAAUUUGAAAUCUGGCGCCUUCGGUGUCCGAGUUGUAAUUUGAAGAUUGUAACCUUGGGGUUGGCUCUUGUCUAUGUUUCUUGGAACAGGACGUCACAGAGGGUGAGAAUCCCGUGCGAUGAGAUGCCCAAUUCUAUGUAAGGUGCUUUCGAAGAGUCGAGUUGUUUGGGAAUGCAGCUCUAAGUGGGUGGUAAAUUCCAUCUAAAGCUAAAUAUUGGCGAGAGACCGAUAGCGAACAAGUACAGUGAUGGAAAGAUGAAAAGAACUUUGAAAAGAGAGUGAAAAAGUACGUGAAAUUGUUGAAAGGGAAGGGUUUGAGAUCAGACUCGAUAUUUUGUGAGCCUUGCCUUCGUGGCGGGGUGACCCGCAGCUUAUCGGGCCAGCAUCGGUUUGGGCGGUAGGAUAAUGGCGUAGGAAUGUGACUUUACUUCGGUGAAGUGUUAUAGCCUGCGUUGAUGCUGCCUGCCUAGACCGAGGACUGCGAUUUUAUCAAGGAUGCUGGCAUAAUGAUCCCAAACCGCCCGUCUUGA